CAAUAGCGUAUAUUAAAGUUGUUGCAGUUAGAACGCUCGUAGUCGGAUUUCGGGGCGGGUCGACCGGUCUGCCGAUGGGUACGCACUGGCCGACGCGUCCUUUUUGCCGGAGACCGUCCCUACUCUUAACUGAGCGGGGUCGGGAGACGGCACUUUUACUUUGAAAAAAUCAGAGUGUUUCAAGCAGGCAGCUCGCUCUUGCAUGGAUUAGCAUGGGAUAAUGAAAUAGGACUUUGGUGCUAUUUUGUUGGUUUCGAACACCGAAGUAAUGAUGAGAAAGGACAGUCAGGGGCACUCGUAUUCCGCCGAGAGAGGUGAAAUUCUCAGACCAGCGGAAGACGAACCACUGCGAAAGCAUUUGCCAGGGAUGUUUUCACUGA
rnacentral:rRNA from 1 species